rnacentral:rRNA from 1 species
CUGCCGGUGAUAAACCGGAGGAAGGUGGGGAUGACGUCAAGUCAUCAUGGCCCUUACGAGUAGGGCUACACACGUGCUACAAUGGCAGAUACAAAGAGAAGCGACCUCGCGAGAGCAAGCGGAACUCAUAAAGUCUGUCGUAGUCCGGAUUGGAGUCUGCAACUCGACUCCAUGAAGUCGGAAUCGCUAGUAAUCGUAGAUCAGAAUGCUACGGUGAAUACGUUCCCGGGCCUUGUACACACCGCCCGUCACACCAUGGGAGUGGGUUGCAAAAGAAGUAGGUAGCUUAACCUUCGGGAGGGCGCUUACCACUUUGUGAUUCAUGACUGGGGUGAAGUCGUAACAAGGUAACCGUAGGGGAACCUGCGGUUGGA